UAAAAAGCUAUGAGAGGAAAGAAGUAGAUCAGUUUCAUGUUAUUAAGAGAGCAUCUGGUUGGUGAGAAGAUGCAAAUGCACUGAUUCGAAAUACAUCCUGGAGCUGCUGCCUGAAUUAUAGUAGGGCUUGACGGGGACGCCCGAUACAGCGUGAGAGUGUGAUUGCACUCAGUGAGGGAAAUUCUGUGAGGAAUUUCUAAGUCAGAGGUGGUACCGCAAUUUUUGCCUUCUGU
rnacentral:ncRNA from 1 species